rnacentral:misc_RNA from 1 species
AACGCACAUUGCGCCCAUUAGUAUUCUAGUGGGCAUGCCUGUUCGAGCGUCAUUUCAACCCUUAAGCCCCUGUUGCUUAGCGUUGGGAGCCUACAGCCUCGCUGUAGCUCCCCAAAGUUAGUGGCGGAGUCGGUUUCCACUCUAGACGUAGUAAAUCUUAUCUCGUCUGUCAGUGAGGCCGGUCUCUCGCCGUAAAACCCCCAAAUCUUUAAAGGUUGACCUCGGAUCAGGUAGGAAUACCCGCUGAACUUAA